rnacentral:rRNA from 1 species
GACGAACGCUGGCAGCGUGCUUAACACAUGCAAGUCGAACGAAGUGGCGAACGGGUGAGUAACGCGUAAUCAACCUGCCCUUCAGAGGGGGACAACAGUUGGAAACGACUGCUAAUACCGCAUACGGAAGGAGGGGAUUGAGGCUGAUUAGCUAGUUGGAGGGGUAACGGCCCACCAAGGAGAUGAUCAGUAGCCGGUCUGGAGAGAUGAACUGCCCAAUUUGGGCUGGGACACGGCCCAGACUCCUACGGGAGGCAGCAGUUGGGAAUCUUCCGCAAUGGACGGAAGUCUGACGGAGCAACGCCGCGUGAGUGAUGACGGCCUUCGGGUUGUAAAGCUCUGUUAAUCGGGACGCGGUACCGGAAUAGAAAGCCACGGCUAACUACGUGCCAGCAGCCGCGGUAAUAC